AGGAGCAGCGUCUGCUGUUGGAAGGAGGUUCAAGACUUUAUUCAACUCAACAGAGCUUACGCCCGCCACCGCUAAGCGACGCCACGGUUUCACGGGAAACACAAGUAAAGAACGAUUAUGGUGAAAGAUACUGUACACAUAUACGGGAGACAGAAAAGAGCAACUGGCGACUGCUACAUAAAUGAUGACUUACCUCCAACAGCAAACAUCGCAAGAACGGCUGCGUAGGUGGUACUACUAUCGGUGCUAUGUUCGCAGAUCAGGCACACGCUGCUCAAGGCCAAUGUUUCUUUGGCAGGCCAUAUACGCAUGCAAGUUUUUGUGAAACGAGCAAUUAAGGUUACUAUUAUUAAUUAUUGUGGUUGUGGUAAAACAAAGUGUGCAUAAUAAACUAGAAGCCUUAUUGAAUGUAAGUGAGCGUCUAUAUAAAAUUUAUCAUUGAGAGACUUGUGUGUCAGUUCAAUUAAAUUUGUUUGUCUAGCGCAUGCUCUGCUUGUUGCUGUAUUACCUGAAAAAAAAAGCGGUAGAAAUAAUUAAUCCUGCCAUUACAUAUGUUUGCUUGAUGAACAAAAUGUCCUCUCUUUGACAAUGAU